ACUCGCAGCCCAAACCCUAGAUCAGAUCCCAUCAACCCCUCCCACCAUCGCAUCCCUCCUCCCUUGUCCCCAUCUCCUCACCGCCGCCGCCACCUCCUCCCCGUCCCCGGCACCCUCCCGAUCCAGUCCUCCGUCUCAUUCCCCUCGUCCAAACCCACCAACGCGACGGCGCACCCACCCACCCACCAACGCGGGCUCCUCUCUCCCUCGUCUCUCCCUCUCCCCCGCACCACUCCUCGCUGCCGCCACCACCACCACCUACGGCGCCCGAUCCCGCCUGAAUCCGGUCUCCUCCGGCGGCGCCGAGCACACCACGGUGACCCCAUCCCUCCGCUGCUUCCUCCCAUCCAUGGCGGCGAGCGAGCCAGCCAAAUCGACCCCCGUUCCCCGAAAGCAGCGGCAGCACCACCCACCCAUGGCUUCCCUGACGGCGAGAUCCGGCCUCCGCUCCCUGGCGGCGCGCGCCAGGCCCCCCGCCCCGGCCCCGGUUGGGUGCCGCAUAUGAGACGACCAAGUGGGAGAAGAUCACCAUCAUGGGGGCCAUCACCUGCACCCUCCUGACGGCCUGGAACCUCUCCAAGGGCCACCCCCACUUCGACGAGCCGCCGGCCUACCCCUACCUGCACAUCCGCAACAAGGAGUUCCCCUGGCGAGCCAUGGGUUUGACUUCGGCAAAGGGGAUCGCCCUCACCGUCUCCUUGUUUUGGCCUCCUCGCGUUUCUGCUCGGUGUCAUUUAUCUGUUAUACUAUAUGAAUCAUGCAUGCUGAUACACUACUGUGCAAGUUCUAUGGUAUGUGAGUUCCUUUUGUUGCUGCAAGCAUUGAUACAAUAUGUCAUGUUUAGGGAGCUCUGCAUCUGAGUCUCGGUCAUCCUGCACAGCGAGGAGUUGGGCCAAGGGAGCAAGCAGUGCUGCUGGUUCCUUGAGGCCGGAUUGAGUAAGAUGGUGCACCACGACGUGUGGCACGAGAGCUUCAGGCAUAAAAGGAAGUUGGAAGUGUGAAACCAUGAAGAUUGCUCAAGAAAGUACGGUAUAUUAUAUAUUGUAAUAGUAGACAUAUCUAGGUUGUAAAGAUUGUAAUAGACUAAUUUAGUGUUGUUUUCGACGAAUUUCAUGUGCUCUCUGGUCUGUUUGAAAUAUUGAUCCUGUAUGUGAUUUCAAUACUUGUGAAAUGGAAACCUGCGAUCUACAUAAAAAUGGGAGAUAAGUUUUGAA